AUUGAACGCUGGCGGCAUGCUUUACACAUGCAAGUCGAACGGUAACAGGGUGCUUGCACCGCUGACGAGUGGCGAACGGGUGAGUAAUGCGUCGGAACGCACCGAGUAAUGGGGGAUAACGCAGCGAAAGCUGUGCUAAUACCGCAUACGCUCUGAGGAGGAAAGCGGGGGACCUUCGGGCCUCGCGUUAUUCGAGCGGCCGACGUCUGAUUAGCUAGUAGGUGAGGUAAGAGCUCACCUAGGCGACGAUCAGUAGCGGGUCUGAGAGGAUGGACCGCCACACUGGGACGGGGACACGGCCCAGACUCCUACGGGAGGCAGCAGUGGGGAAUUUUGGACAAUGGGCGCAAGCCUGAUCCAGCCAUGCCGCGUGUCUGAAGAAGGCCUUCGGGUUGUAAAGGACUUUUGUCAGGGAGGAAAUCCUUAGCGCUAAUACCGUUGAGGGAUGACAGUACCUGAAGAAUAAGCACCGGCUAACUACGUGCCAGCAGCCGCCGUAA
rnacentral:rRNA from 1 species